rnacentral:rRNA from 1 species
GGAAGAGAGGGGGGAGUGGCUUGCGGUAGCGGCGGCGCCGAGGCAGCAAAGGGGCCGGUAGUCGCCGGGGCGCUGGCGACUGACGUUGGCGUUCGAGGCGGUCGCAGGAGGGGAAGGGGACUGCGCAAGCCAACCUCAGCCCCAUGGGGCAUCCACGGUGCAGCAGUAGCAGGAGAGGAGGCCGGUAGCGCGCUGACGCGGCAGCUGGACGAGGUAGCCAAGAGGGGCGCGGGUGACGGGUCUGGGAUGCGAGAGUGU